rnacentral:tRNA from 1 species
GCCUCUGUGGCGCAAUCAGCUAGCGCGUUCGGCUGUUAACCGAAGGGUUGGUGGUUCGAGCACACCCGGGGGCG